CUCUGUUUCAAAGCCAAAAUGCUUGAACAUAAAUCAGGAAUAUAACCAUUGAAGCUAAUGGAAUUAACUCAGUGCAAGGGAGAGCAGAAUCAGGCCCUGUCAAUAUGCUUUGGAAACAAAUGAGGAGGUCUCAAGGUGCUUCCUAAUCCUUACCUCAAAGAAUUGUGAUCCCCUGUUUACCAUACACCAUGACUAGCCCCACUGGAGCAGCUGGGAAGAAUGGUGCUGCUGACUGUGAGUAAGGACCCAGCCUGGCCCAUAGUGUUUGAAUUCAAAGGAAUCCAAAGUACUUUAAUAACUGCGCUUCGAGAUGGACUAUGGCAGAACCUGAAAUUUAUUUGGAAUACGUGCAACAUUUCAAGCUUGUGAAUCCAUUUGGAGAAUCCAACUUCAUCUUCCAUUGGAAUCUUGAUAUAUCACAUUCCUACAGCUACAGAGAAAAUAAAUGAUGCCCUCAAAGAAGCCUUCAGGAACUCAGUAUGGGAAGCAAAUUGAAAUCUCGUUUCCAGCAAGGGGCAAAUUUGAUCGGAAAAUAUUAACAUAGACUGGGCUUUAGCAAUUGUCCCAGUACAGAGGAAAUUGAGCAAAGAGGAAAUGCUGGAAGUCCUAUUACUGAAGGAAUUAGCAGAUUACCUGAAGAUAAGAAAUGGAAGUAUGAGGAAAGCCAUGGCGAAUCGGACAGUGUUCCUGGCAGCAUAAAGGACAGUGAUGAUAUGGUCGGCGAUCCUAAACUCUGCCAAUAUUGAUUGUACAAUUUGUGAACGAUCUGGGCAAAAUCAAGGAUAUGAUUGUGGCAUUAUGUCCCAUAUUCUUCAUAGUAAUAUUAUUAUGAUAUGAGUAUGGCAUAAUUACAAUGUAUUUUGUGCAAGAUAAGAUGUGAGAUCAUUGGAAAGGUUAUAAUUUACUGAAUAUGAUUAUCCUAUUUGUCUGCAUGUAUCAUUUUUGUAUCGGAAGU